UUUAAAGAGAGUUUGAUCCUGGCUCAGGACGAACGCUGGCGGCGUGCCUAAUACAUGCAAGUCGAACGAACGGAGGAAGAGCUUGCUCUUCCAAAGUUAGUGGCGGACGGGUGAGUAACACGUGGGCAACCUGCCUGUAAGUUGGGGAUAACUCCGGGAAACCGGGGCUAAUACCGAAUGAUAAAGUUUGGCGCAUGCCACGCUUUUGAAAGAUGGUUUCGGCUAUCGCUUACAGAUGGGCCCGCGGUGCAUUAGCUAGUUGGUAGGGUAAUGGCCUA
rnacentral:rRNA from 1 species